GACUGAUACAUAGAGAGAUAAGAUAAAGAGAUAAGAUAAGAUAGUUGGGAGGUUGAUGGAUAGGAUAGAUAGGCAAGUAGGUAGACAGACAGACAGUUGGGCAGAUAGAAAGAAAGAAUAGGUAGGUAGGUAGAUGGUAGGAUAUGAUAGCUGGGAGGUUGAUGGAUAGGAUAGGUAGGUAGGUAGACAGAUAGAAACCGUAGUUGGGUAGAUAGAAAGAAUAGGUAGGUAGGUAGUUGAUAGGAUAAGAUAGUUGGGAGGUUGAUGGAUAGGAUAGGAUAGGAUAGGAAGGUAGGUAGACAGAUAGAAACCGUAGUUGGGUAGAUAGAAAGAAUAGCUAGGUAGGUAGUUGAUAGGAUAAGAUAGUUGGGAGGUUGAUGGAUAGGAUAGGAUAGGAUAGGAAGGUAGGUAGACAGAUAGAAACCGUAGUUGGGUAGAUAGAAAGAAUAGGUAGGUAGGUAGUUGAUAGGAUAAGAUAGUUGGGAGGUUGAUGGAUAGGAUAGGAUAGGAUAGGAAGGUAGGUAGACAGAUAGAAACCGUAGUUGGGUAGAUAGAAAGAAUAGGUAGGUAGGUAGUUGAUAGGAUAAGAUAGUUGGGAGGUUGAUGGAUAGGAUAGGUAGGUAGGUAGGCAGAUAGAAACCGUAGUUGGGUAGAUAGAAAGAAUAGGUAGGUAGGUAGUUGAUAGGAUAAGAUAGUUGGGAGGUUGAUGGAUAGGAUAGGAUAGGAUAGGAUAGGAAGGUAGGUAGACAGUUGGGUAGAUAGAAAGAAAUAAUAGGUAGAUUAUAGGAUAAGAUAGUUGGGAGGUUGAUGGAUAGGAUAGGAAGGUAGGUAGGUAGGUAGGUAGACAGUUGGGUAGAUAGAAAUAAAUAAAAGGUAGGUAGAUGAUAGGAUAAGAUAGUUGGGAGGUUGAUGGAUAGGAUAGGAUAGGUAGGUAGACAGUUGGGUAGAUAGAAAGAAAAAAUAGCUAGGUAGGUAGAUGGUAGAAUAUGAUAGUUGGGAGGUCGAUGGAUAGGAUAGGUAGGUAGGUAGGCAGACAGUUGGGUAGAUAGAAAGAAAUAAUAGAUAGAUGAUAGGAUAAGAUAGUUGGGAGGUUGAUGGAUAGGAUAGGAAGGUAGGUAGGAAGGUAGGUAGACAGUUGGGUAGAUAGAAAGAAAUAAAAGGUAGGUAGAUGAUAGGAUAAGAUAGUUGGGAGGUUGAUGGAUAGGAUAGGAUAGGUAGGUAGACAGUUGAGUAGAUAGAAAGAAUAGGUAGGUAGGUAGAUGGUAGGAUAAGAUAGUUGGGAGGUUGAUGGAUAGGAUAGGAUAGGUAGGUAGACAGUUGGGUUGAUAGAAAGAAAGAAUAGGUAGGUAGGUAGAGGAUAGGAUAAGAUAGUUGGGAGGUUGAUGGAUAGGAUAGGUAGGUAGGUAGGCAGUUGAGUAGAUAGAAAGAAUAGGUAGGUAGGUAGAUGGUAGGAUAAGAUAGUUGGGAGGUUGAUGGAUAGGAUAGGUAGGUAGACAGUUGGGUAGAUAGAUAGAAAUAAUAGGUAUUUAGGCAGAUGAUAGGAUAAGAUAGUUGGGAGGUUGAUGGAUAGGACAGAUAGGUAGGUAGGUAGACAGUUGGGUAGAUAGAAAGAAAUAAUAGGUAGGGAGAUAGGAUAAGGAUAGGAUAAGAUAGUUGGGAGGUUGAUGGAUAGGGUAGGUAGGUAGACAGAUAGACAGUUGGGCGCUCAUUCCGCUCCCGGGAUUUGAACCUGGCACCUUUUGGUCCGCAAGUUCAGCAGCUCAGCACUUUAACGCACUGUGUCACCAGGGGCCCCAGAUGGGAGGUAAAUAGAUAGAUAGAUAAAUAAAUAAAUAGAUAAGAUAGUUGUGCCACAGCUAGCUAGCUGGGAUAGGUUGUAGAUAGAUUAGAUGGGAGAUAUAGAUAGAUAGAUAGAUAGAUAGAUAGAUAGAUAGAUAGAUAGAUAGAUAGAUAGAUAGAUAGGAUAGUUGUGCGGUAGAUAGAUAGAUUCGAUAAUUGGGAGGUAGAUACCAUAGAUAGAUAAGAUAGGUAAGUAGAUGAUAGAUUAGAUGGGGGAUAGAUAGAUAAAAUACGUAGUAGAUAGCUAGAUUAGAUGCUAGAUAGAUAAGAUAGUUGUGCAGUAGAUAGCUAGAUUAGAUAAUUGGGAGGUAGAUAUGCUAGAUAGAAAGGAUAGGUAGGUAGGUAGAUUAGAUGGGAGGUAGAUAAUUGGGAAGUAGAUACAAUACAUAGGUAGAUAGGAUAGGUAGGUAGAUGAUAGAUAGGUGAGAUGGGAGGUAAAUAGAUAAAUAACUGAGCAAUAGACAGAUAGAGAGGUAAAUAGAUAGGAUAGGUUGGUAGAUGAUAGAAGGAUUAGAUGGAAGGUAGAUAGAUAAGACAAUUGUGUGAUAGAUAGGUAGAAUAGGUAGGUGAUAGAUUAUAGAUAAUUGGGAGGUAGGUAUGAUAGAUAGGGGAGAGAGAUAAAUAGGUAGAUAGAUAGGAUAGGUAGGUAGUAGAUAGAUUAGAUGGGAGGUAGAUAGAUAGAUAGACAGAUUGAUAGAUAGAAUAGUUGGGAAGUAGAUAAAUAAAUAAAAUAUAAUAAAUGGUGUGGCUUCUGUCUGUCCAAGGCAACUCUUCCCUGGACUCCAUGUUGAGUGUAUCUUUAUAGUGACCACUGUCUUGUGGAGUUGCUUUAUGUGGGAUUUCUCCCAGAGUUGCCAAUGGCACAGGAAGGAUCUGAACCCAAGGCACCGCCAAUGCACUGUGACUCUCUGAGGCCUGACGCUGGCCAAGGCAUUCAACCCCUGGCUUUUUAUCUGCACUGGGCUGGCAUGGACAGGAGAGGGAUGUGGGGAGCUGUGGCUCUGAAGGACAAACCCCUGGAGCAGGCAAUGUAUGGGCCCAGGAGAGAGCAAAACUGCAAGGCCUGCGGGAUGCAGCUGGGCUCUCCUUGCUUGCCAGGCAUGGCAUCCAAAUGGUGUUGUUGUUGUUGUUGUUGGUAGAUUUGCAUGAAGCCCAAAGGAGUGGAUCAACGACAAAUGGGAUAGGAAAGGAUUAUUAUUAUUAGUAUCUGUAUCCUGCCUCAAGCUACAGGGAGAGGCGGACAAUACAUUUAUUAUUAUUAUUAUUAUUAUUAUUAUUAUUAUUAUUAUUAUUAUUAUUAUUAUUAUUACUAUUAUUUUAUUAUGACACAGCAAACAAGAUAGAUAUGCUGGAUUUCAUAUCACAAAAUCACAAGUCGAACACUUCCCAAAUGUCUAGGACUGUGUGAUGUCCAAAUGAAUAGUCACAGAAGCGGCAGAAAUAUACAAUGCCAGAAAACUGCACUAUUAUUAUUAUUAUUAUUAUUAUUAUUAUUGACACAACGAUGUUGUAUGACACAGCAAACAAGAUAGACAUGCUGGAUUUCGUUUCACAAAACCACAAGUCGAACACUUCCCAAGUGUCUAGGACUGUGUGAUGUAUUUUCGGAUGAUGCGUGCAGAUCCCAGCAGGGUGGCCUUUUGCAGUUGGCAGAUCGUAAUUUUUAUUUUUAUUAUUAUUAUUAUUAUUAUCUUAACUCUUGUUUUAAUCAUAUUGUACCUCACCUCAAGCUGCAGGGAGAGGUGGGUAAUAAAUUCAUGAUGAUGAUGAUGAUGAUUAUUAUUAUUGACACAACAACAUAGUAUGACACAGCGAACAAGAUAGAUAUGCUGGAUUUUGUGUCACAAAAUCACAAGUCGAACACUUCCCAAGCGCUUAGGACUGUUUGAUGUAUUUUCAGAUGAUGCACACAGAUCCCAUUAUUAUUAUUAUUAUUAUUAUUAUUAUUAUUAUUAUUAUUAUUAUUAUUAUUAUUAUUAUUAUUAGGCUGAUGGAGAGAGCGACUUUGGAUAGUUCGUUGGGAGAAAAGUGGGCCAUACUGUAGUUACUCUAAUCUAAUGCUUACCUAUUUUUUGGGGCUAAAUUACCUCACCAAAAUUAGGGUGUGCAUUAAAUUUGCAUGCUAUGGCAAUCUUAGUGGCGAGACACCAGCAUUCGUUGGCAGAGAAGGCUCAAAACCUUGUCAAACUACAUCCCCCCAGGACUCCAUGGCAUUGAACCAAGGCAAUGAAAGUGCAUUCAUUCUGCAGCAUAGUUUUCCUUUCCAUUGCUGGAAACUUUGGUGUUCCGAUGUUAUUGUUUUGAAAGGAGGAAUCCUAUGCAGGUGGUCACUGCAAUGCACAUCUUUUUUGGCCAGAGUGCAUGACAUUGAGCAGCAAAUACUUUUCUGUUUUGUGGGUUUUGAAUAUUGAUGUGCGCAUGGGAUUCAAUAGCGCAUUAGACUCAAGUCAAUACGAGCAUUGCAGGUAUGCUCCUCUUUCCUUGGGAACGCAUCUUCCUUAGAAACCGAGCCGACCUGCCUUGGGCUCCCCUCCGUUAAACUGCCUAUAAUUGGCUUCUGAAAAGGGGCUAGGCAGUGGCCGCCUCCAUCCGCGCAUCCACGGAUCUCUCCAUCUGGCUGCACGGAUGGCAGGACGCCACGGCCGGCUUCCUGGGCGCCCCUCCUGAUCCAACGUCCUCCUCUCCUCCGCGUUUACUCUGGGCAAAGGGCCCACACGCCCGGGGCCCCCUUCUCCUCCGCGGAUCCCGCAUCCGGGCCCGUGAAUCAUGCCUUAUAGCAGGGCUUUCUCCUGAAUAGCAGGGCAAGGCACGGGAUGCCAGCCAAACCCACCCACGGGGCUGGCGAGGAAGGAGAGCGGCUGGUGGCCAAGCCGGGAUGAGUCACGCACGGGGCAGAGCCUUUCCCCAAAACCCAAACGUUUGCAUUAAAGGCAGGAUCCCUUCCUUCCUUUCCUUCCUUCGUGCCCUUGCUUUGGCUCCUUUGCAUUUGGUGCCAGGCCCUUCCGCCAAAGCCUUGGCCUAAAUUUAGACCCUUCUAAAGGUCAGAGGGACCAUUCCGGCCCCCAGGCUUAAAGGACGAGGAGGUAACCCUAGCUAGCUCCUCCUGCUCACCUUUCACAGCCUUGGGAUGCAUUUAUUGGGAGGCAGAAGGAAGACCCUCAGGCUUCACCGUCCCUCUGAUGCAGAGUUGAAGUCCAAAACACCUGCCCUAGGCCUGCCCCCCCCAAACAAUGGCACCCCAUUUGCCCUCUUUCUCCAAGCCCGUAGCCAAGGGGGCGGUUUAGGAGUUCAAACCACCGCCCAAAUUUUUCAGGACAAAAAAAUAAAUAAAUCCUGGUUUACUCAUGAAUUUUAACUAGUGAAUCAGAUCCUGCUGCCAAGUCUAUGAGAAACAAAAAUUAGAGUUCACCCAGAACUGCAAGCAUGAUCUCAAGCAAAUUUGCAAUAGAGUAGAGUCUCACUUAUCCAACGUUCUGGAUUAUCCAACGCAUUUUUGUAGUCAAUGUUUUCAAUGCAUUGUGAUAUUUUGGUGCUAAAUUCGUAAACACAGUAAUUACUACAUCGCAUUAAUGUGUAAUGAACUACUUUUUCUGUCAAAUUUGUUGUAUAAUAUGAUGCUUUGGUGCUUAAUUUGUAAAAAUUUUAUUGUACUGUUUUGCAUGUAUGUAUUGUAUUAUGCUAAAUUGAUUUUUUUAACUGCCUAUGUUUUAUCUUUUGUACUAUAUAUGGCAUUGAAUUUUGCCAGAUUGUGAGCCGCCCUGAGUCCCUUCGGGUGAGAAGGGCGGCGUAGAAAUGAUGGAAAUAAAUAAAUAAAUAAAUAAAAUCAUAACCUAU